AAAACGAGGGGGGGCAGGGUUAAAAAAACUUUUUUAUCAGCCAGAGGUUAAUGCAAGUGUUUAACAGAUGCUUCACUAUUAAAAUAUUUCCCCCCCAAGUCUCAAAUAUUGAAGAAUCUUAAACCAGGGACACCAGCCCCAGCGAAGACAGACCUUGGGCGAUUUCAAAGCGCAGGCACCUCGAUUCCCCGAAUUUGUUGUGUGGCCGGUAUCGGUGUUCCCCUGGUUUAACUAGCCUGUCUGAAGGCGCAGAUCAUUCUUGGGGAAGUACCACCGAAACCAGUUCUCCCUGCCCCUCGGGGUCUCCAUUUUCCCAGUCUACCUCUGCCUGUGACUCCAGAAAGACAAACUUCUGAUUGGCCAAGCGACCAAAGCUAGUAGCGGAGGCGGACGUCAUCCCUCAGGGCACAGACCUUCAUUCCAAACCCCUCGGGAGAAGCAGGGAAGGCUCCUCAGCUGGACCGUGCGUCCCAGGGCUCCU